rnacentral:rRNA from 1 species
AAAAGGCAUCACGUAUAAUCGACAACCCGCUGAACUUAAGCAUAUUAAUAAGCGGAGGAAAAGAAACCAACUGGGAUUCCCUGAGUAAGGGCGACUGAAACGGGAGAAGCUCAACCCUGAAUCCUAGCACAAAUGUGUAAGGGAGUUGUGGGGUAUGAAGUUUGAUUAGGGUGUUAAUAUUUUCACUAACUGUGUGGAAUAGCAGGCCAGAGAGGGUUAAAGCCCCGUGAGCGAAAAUAUUAGUAUUCAUUUCUUAUUUUAGAGAGUCGCGUUGUUUGUGAGUACAGCGCAAAGUGGGAGGUAAGUUACUUCUAAAGCUAAAUACAACCAGAGACCGAUAGCGAACAAGUACCGUGAGGGAAAGAUGAAAAGAACUUUGAAAAGAGAGUUAACGAACGUGAAAUUGAUAUUGGGGAAGCGUUUAGCGGAGUUCCCUAAUUAUAUUCACUAUAAUAAACUUGUAACAAGGUUAAUAUUGGGUAUGAUAAGUAUUCAAUAUUAGUUGAGCCAAGGGUUUGAUUGUAGGUUCGAUUAUAAAGGAAUCAGUGUGAUUAUAAUAUAUAUUAAAAAACUGUAAGUAAGAAGGGAUAACUUGUUAUCACGGAUGCUUAUAGACUAUAAUGGUAUGUUAUAGUGAGGGAUCAAAACUGAUCAAUAUAAACUUUUUGUUUAUAAAGUUUCGACCGAGUAAACAGGGGUUGUAUUGGGACACUGAUAUAACGAUGUUAAAUGUCCCGUCUUGAAACACGGACCAAGGAGUGCAACAACCAUGCGAGUAGAAAGGAUAAGAAACCCUAUCUGCGAAACGAAAGUGAAAUGUGAGACUUUAGGUUAAAAACUGAAUUCAUCAUAGACCAACCCUAAUAUAUUAUUAGAAGGGAUUGAGUUAGAGCAUGCUUGUUGCGACCCGAAAGAUAGCGAACUAUGCCUGGGUAAGGUGAAGCCAGAGGAAACCCUGGUGGAAGCCUGCAGCGAUUCUGACGUGCAAAUCGAUCGUCUAAUCCAGGUAUAGCGGCGAAAGACUAAUCGAGCUAUCUAGUAGCUGGUUCCCACCGAAGUUUUCCUCAGAAUAGCUGGUACAUCAAUUGGUACUGUCCGGUAAAGCGAAUGAUUAGAGUCAUUGGGGGCGAAAUGCCCUUGAACUAUUCUCAAACUUUAAAUGGUCAGAUUAUUUUAAACACCUAGUGGGUUAAAAAUUUUAUACAAAUUGUACUUAGUGGGCCAUUUCUGGUAAGCAGAACUGGCGAUGCGGGAUGAACCGAUCGCAAAGAUAAGGAGCCAAAAUUAAGGUUAAAAGAAACCACAAAGGGUGUAGGUUCAUAUAGACAGCAGGACGGUGGCCAUGGAAGUCGGCAUCCGCUUAGGAAUGUGUAACAACUCACCUGCCGAAUGGACCUGCCCCGAAAAUGGAUGGCGCUAAAACUUUAUUCCGAUGCUUUGCCCUUAAUGUAACCACCAAACAUUAAGGAGUAGGUGGGUGCAAAGGUUGCGUUGAAGGGUAUCAGUGAUGAUAUACUGAAGCGUCCUUUGUUACAGAUCUUGGUGGUAGUAGCAAAUAUUCAAGUGAGAUCCUUGAAAUCUGAAGUGGGGUAGGUUUCCACGUGAACAUCAGUUGAUCGUGGGUUAGCCGGUCCUAAGGAUAAGUGUAACUAUGAGAAUAGGGAAAUUUAAGAAGUUUACUUCUUAAAAAGUUUCAUGUAUCCGAAAGGGAAGCAGGUUAAUAUUCCUGCGCUUAUUACUAGCUAUGUUAAAAAUAAUCAGAGCGGUAACGCAUUUAGUGAACCACAUGACACCAUAGGAAGUUGCCAGGAGAGUUAUCUUUUCUCAUUAUGGAACUGUGGGUAUUUAUAAAGCAAUUUAUAUUGCCCAGUUACAGGUAUGGAGUAUCAUUAAGAUGAGAAGUAGUUGGAAGGUUCCCGAGAGUAGUAAAGUUUCUUUACUAUUGAGCAGAACGCUUGUGGUCCUUGAAAAGUGUGGGAAGAACAGGAUUUUUAACAAUAUUUAGCUCAUAAUAAACCGUACCGAUAUCCGCAUCAGGUCCCCAAGGUGAGCAGCCUCUAGACAAUAAAUUAAUGUAGGUAAGGGAAGUCGGCAAAAUAGAUCCGUAACUUCGGGAAAAGGGUUGGCUCCAAAGGUUUUGUAUAUGUGAGUUCAGGAAACAGAUAAUAUGAAAUAAGAUCGGAUCCAGCAAUGGUGAAGGUUUUACGAUUAUUAAAAUGCCCUGGCACGAGCUAUACAGCAUAAACCAAUUUGGAACUGAUACGGACAAGGGGAAUCCGACUGUUUAAUUAAAACAAAGCAUUGCGAUUGGGUUAAGACCUAUUUACGCAAUGUGAUUUCUGCCCAGUGCUUCGAAUGUCAACGUGAUGAGAUUCAACAAAGCGCAGGUCAACGGCGGGAGUAACUAUGACUCUCUUAAGGUAGCCAAAUGCCUCGUCAUCUAAUUAGUGACGCGCAUGAAUGGAUUAACGAGAUUCCUACUGUCCCUAUCUACUAUUUAGCGAAACCACAGCCAAGGGAACGGGCUUGGCAUAAUUAGCGGGGAAAGAAGACCCUGUUGAGCUUGACUCUAGUCUGAUUCUGUAGAAUGUCUGCGGAGGUGUAGAAUAAGUGGGAGGGAAACCGAAAUUGAAAUACCACUACUCUGUACGAUAUUCUACUUAUUUAAUAAUCUUGAACCCAGUAGAAAUACUGGUUAUUCUAGUCUUGAAAGGAUAAAUCUUUGAUUUAUUCGAUCAAGGUUAAAGACAAAAUCAGGUGGGGAGUUUGGCUGGGGCGGCACAUCUGUUAGAUUACAACACAGGUGUCCAAAGGUAAACUCAGUGAGGACAGAAACCUCACGUAGACCAAAAGGGGAAAUGUUUGCUUUAUUUUAACCUUCAGUAAUGGUUGAAAACGGGAAACCGUGGCCUAUCGAUCCUUUAAGUCCCCUUAACUUGGGGCUAGAGGUGUCAGAAAAGUUACCACAGGGAUAACUGGCUUGUGGCAGCCAAGCGUUCAUAGCGACGUUGCUUUUUGAUCCUUCGAUGUCGGCUCUUCCUAUCAUUGUGAAGCAGCAUUCACAAAGUGUUGGAUUGUUCACCCGUCAAAAGGGAACGUGAGCUGGGUUUAGACCGUCGUGAGACAGGUUAGUUUUACCCUACUAAUGAAAAAGUAGAGAUGUAUCCGAAGAGUAAUUCAUCCUAGUACGAGAGGAACCGGUGAAUCAGGCCACUAGUAACACUGCUGGUUGAAACGCCAAUACAGUAAAGCCACGCCUGCAGGGUAAUGGUUGAACGCCUCUAAAUCAGAACCCAGUCUUUUAA